rnacentral:lncRNA from 1 species
GCGAACAGCUGUACGCGCUAUUCGCACAAAGCAAUAUCUUUACGCCCACUGGACACAGAAGUGUAGCUGGGGAUAUCUGCAAAUUGUACUGAACAUGUUUUCUGCUGCUCGACAGACCAAAAGAAGCUAGUGAUAUCAAUUGAGGAUAUAAACCAUCUGCAUGCUCAUAAAUUGGCGUUCAUUGUGGAGAGUAUCGUAUGAGCGUUAUACAGCAAAAGACGAGAACACAUUUAUUCUGUAUGAUUUGUGCCGCCGGCCUAAUAUAUUUAUAGAUGAGUGUAUUUAAUUUCCUGGUAUUUGUACUCCUGAUUACAGCUACAUUAGCGGUAGGACGGAGAGGAAACAGUGAAGAAAGAAGACCUGUGAAAGGUUGCUACAAACAUCACGAAGUGCGCAAAGAAUGUGCGAGCAGCAAUUGCGCGGAAGCAAAAUGCAGGAAGCCGACUAUUGGCCCCCGCUGUAAGAGGAACUGCGUGAGCGGGUGCUUUUGCAGCAAAGGGUACUACAGGGAGGACGUCAGCGGAUAUAAAAGAUGUGUAGAAUG